AUUGAACGCUGGCGGCAUGCUUUACACAUGCAAGUCGAACGGUAACAGGCCUUCGGGUGCUGACGAGUGGCGCACGGGUGAGUAAUGCAUCGGAACGUACCCAGAGGUGGGGGAUAACGCAGCGAAAGCUGUGCUAAUACCGCAUGUGAUCUGAGGAUGAAAGCGGGGGACCGAGCAGCAAUGUUUGGCCUCGCGCCUUUGGAGCGGCCGAUGUCGGAUUAGCUAGUUGGUGGGGUAAAGGCCUACCAAGGCGACGAUCCGUAGCUGGUCUGAGAGGACGACCAGCCACACUGGGACUGAGACACGGCCCAGACUCCUACGGGAGGCAGCAGUGGGGAAUUGUGGACAAAGGGCGCAAGCCUGAUCCAGCAAUGCCGCGUGCGGGAAGAAGGCCUUCGGGUUGUAAACCGCUGUUGGCAGGAACGAAACGGUGUCCGCUAAUACCGGGCGCUAAUGACGGUACCUGCAGAAUAAGCACCGGCUAACUACGUG
rnacentral:rRNA from 1 species